rnacentral:rRNA from 1 species
UACGAAGGGGGCUAGCGUUGCUCGGAAUCACUGGGCGUAAAGCGCACGUAGGCGGAUUGUUAAGUCAGGGGUGAAAUCCUGGAGCUCAACUCCAGAACUGCCUUUGAUACUGGCGAUCUCGAGUCCGGGAGAGGUGAGUGGAACUGCGAGUGUAGAGGUGAAAUUCGUAGAUAUUCGCAAGAACACCAGUGGCGAAGGCGGCUCACUGGCCCGGCACG